rnacentral:misc_RNA from 1 species
GAUCAUUAAAGAAAUUUAAUAAUUUUGAAAAUGGAUUUUUUUUUUUUGUUUUGGCAAGAGCAUGAGAGCUUUUACUGGGCAAGAAGACAAGAGAUGGAGAGUCCAGCCGGGCCUGCGCUUAAGUGCGCGGUCUUGCUAGGCUUGUAAGUUUCUUUCUUGCUAUUCCAAACGGUGAGAGAUUUCUGUGCUUUUGUUAUAGGACAAUUAAAACCGUUUCAAUACAACACACUGUGGAGUUUUCAUAUCUUUGCAACUUUUUCUUUGGGCAUUCGAGCAAUCGGGGCCCAGAGGUAACAAACACAAACAAUUUUAUCUAUUCAUUAAAUUUUUGUCAAAAACAAGAAUUUUCGUAACUGGAAAUUUUAAAAUAUUAAAAACUUUCAACAACGGAUCUCUUGGUUCUCGCAUCGAUGAAGAACGCAGCGAAAUGCGAUACGUAAUGUGAAUUGCAGAAUUCCGUGAAUCAUCGAAUCUUUGAACGCACAUUGCGCCCCUUGGUAUUCCAGGGGGCAUGCCUGUUUGAGCGUCAUUUCCUUCUCAAACAUUCUGUUUGGUAGUGAGUGAUACUCUUUGGAGUUAACUUGAAAUUGCUGGCCUUUUCAUUGGAUGUUUUUUUUCCAAAGAGAGGUUUCUCUGCGUGCUUGAGGUAUAAUGCAAGUACGGUCGUUUUAGGUUUUACCAACUGCGGCUAAUCUUUUUUUAUACUGAGCGUAUUGGAACGUUAUCGAUAAGAAGAGAGCGUCUAGGCGAACAAUGUCU